rnacentral:lncRNA from 1 species
UUGUACCAAAGAACAUUCAAUGGACGAUUGGUGGUAUUGCUUGGGGCCAGGGUACACCGAUUAUGUUCUACGAGAAAUCUAUGAAAGCACUAGCGGAAACCACUUCGGUGCCGACUGUUACGCCCCGAGCCUGGGAGUGAGACGGGCACCUGGUGCAUCAUCUAUCUUUGCAUACCACUUGCGACUAAGAGACUCUGAACAUGUAAUUUCAUACUUUAGCUAUGGGACACAUUACAAAA